UUUUAGCUGGUGAUCCAUGCCAGAAUUCUGCCAUUCCAAAUCGAAACGAUGAAAUUGUUGAUUCACUAAAACGAUUCUGGGACACUGAAUCCAUUGGGAUCACUGAUAACAAACAAGAUUCCCACCAAGAUGACAAAUUUCUGCAAAACAUCCAAUUUACAGGUGAGCGUUACAAAGUGGGACUUCCGUGGAAGGAAGAGCGUCCUAUGCUAGACAACGACUAUGAUUUAUAUUACAACCGACUGCGUUCGUUGUACAGCAAACUAAAGAAACAACCGGAACUACUUCAAGAAUACGAUAAGAGCAUCAAAGAUCAAAUAGAAUUGGGAAUCAUUGAGGAAGUACCUCGUGUGAGUGGAAGCACAAGCAAUAACCAAG